rnacentral:rRNA from 1 species
AUUGAACGCUGGCGGCAGGCCUAACACAUGCAAGUCGAGCGGUAACAGGGGUAGCUUGCUACCCGCUGACGAGCGGCGGACGGGUGAGUAAUGCAUAGGAAUCUGCCCGAUAGUGGGGGAUAACCUGGGGAAACCCAGGCUAAUACCGCAUACGUCCUACGGGAGAAAGGGGGCUCCGGCUCCCGCUAUCGGAUGAGCCUAUGUCGGAUUAGCUGGUUGGUGAGGUAACGGCUCACCAAGGCGACGAUCCGUAGCUGGUCUGAGAGGAUGAUCAGCCACAUCGGGACUGAGACACGGCCCGAACUCCUACGGGAGGCAGCAGUGGGGAAUAUUGGACAAUGGGGGGAACCCUGAUCCAGCCAUGCCGCGUGUGUGAAGAAGGCCCUCGGGUUGUAAAGCACUUUCAGUGAGGAAGAACGCCUGGUGGUUAAUACCCAUCAGGAAAGACAUCACUCACAGAAGAAGCACCGGCUAACUCCGUGCCAGCAGCCGCGGUAAUACGGAGGGUGCGAGCGUUAAUCGGAAUUACUGGGCGUAAAGCGCGCGUAGGUGGCUUGAUAAGCCGGUUGUGAAAGCCCCGGGCUCAACCUGGGAACGGCAUCCGGAACUGUCAAGCUAGAGUGCUGGAGAGGAAGGUAGAAUUCCCGGUGUAGCGGUGAAAUGCGUAGAGAUCGGGAGGAAUACCAGUGGCGAAGGCGGCCUUCUGGACUGACACUGACACUGAGGUGCGAAAGCGUGGGUAGCAAACAGG